GCACAAGCGGUGGAGCAUGUGGUUCAAUUCGAAGCAACGCGCAGAACCUUACCAGCUUUUGACAUGUCCUUCAUGGUCUGCAGAGAUGUGGACUGUCCCGCAGGGGGAGGGAACACAGGUGCUGCAUGGCUGUCGUCAGCUCGUGUCGUGAGAUGUUGGGUUAAGUCCCGCAACGAGCGCAACCCACGUCCUUAGUUGCCAUCAUUCAGUUGGGCACUCUAGGGAGACUGCCGGUGAUAAGCCGAGAGGAAGGUGUGGAUGACGUCAAGUCCUCAUGGCCCUUACAGGCUGGGCUACACACGUGCUACAAUGGCGGUGACAAUGGGAUGCAAAAGGGCGACCUCUAGCAAAUCUCAAAAAGCCGUCUCAGUUCGGAUUGCACUCUGCAACUCGAGUGCAUGAAGGUGGAAUCGCUAGUAAUCGUGGAUCAGCACGCCACGGUGAAUACGUUCCCGGGC
rnacentral:rRNA from 1 species